rnacentral:rRNA from 1 species
UUUCGAAUCAUUCACAAUGGGCGAAAGCCUGAUGGUGCGACGCCGCGUGAGGGAUGAAGGCCUUCGGGUCGUAAACCUCUGUCACCGGGGAAGAAACGCUGCAAUUUAACAGAUUGCAGCCUGACUUAACCCGGAGAGGAAGCAGUGGCUAACUCUGUGCCAGCAGCCGCGGUAAUACAGAGACUGCAAGCGUUAUUCGGAUUCACUGGGCGUAAAGGGUGCGCAGGCGGCCAUGUGUGUCAGGUGUGAAAGCCCGAGGCUCAACCUCGGAAUUGCGCCUGAAACUACAUGGCUAGAGUACUGGAGAGGGUAGCGGAAUUCAUGGUGUAGCAGUGAAAUGCGUAGAUAUCAUGAGGAACACCAGAGGCGAAGGCGGCUACCUGGACAGUUACUGACGCUCAGGCACGAAAGCGUGGGGAGCAAA